rnacentral:misc_RNA from 1 species
CCCACCUGGUACCCUCUUAAACUUUUAUUUUUUCACUUGUAUUUAUUUAUUUAUUUUACAAACAAGGGGAGAACUUUUAUGGGUAGUUACAGUUGGGUGUAAAUUUUCAGGUGAAGUGACUUCUUUAACCAAAUACACUGUUUGCCAACAUUUUCAAAGAAUUUAAUUUAUUCAUAGAUGUUUUAAAAAAAUUGUACAUGUUUGUUGACAGGUUCAAUUGCCUCUCUUGCAAGGCAUGUAAAUCAACAAGGUGACCUGUGUCUCUGAAAGAGCUGCAAAAUAAGAGUCUCAUGGUCAACCUCCAUCCAAUUCUUACAGUGCUUGAAUGGAGUCCAUUUCAGAAGUUGGUAACUUAGUAUUGAUCUGAAAUGAUAAGAUAGCGCAUCAAAUGCGCCAUAAAUUAUAUAGUUGAUUGGGAUGGCAAUAAUGCCAGCUUGUUCAGAUCAGGGCAAGUUCGACAUUGAUGGACCAGAACAUGGCGGAGAGGCCAUACAAUAAUGACAAGAAAAUGCAAGGUGUAUUAGUAAAACCAAAUUAAAAAAUGCGGCUUCUCAAUUCCAUUGCUAAUAGCAUGGAAUGAGAUCUCUAAGGUAGCAUGUAUGCAUGUGUUUAUGUAUAUAUCAAUGCGUGCGCAAACAAUAGCUGAUAAUUAUUUGUCUGCAGUAGCUUCCGUUCACAUUCCUGCUUCAAUACCUAAAUUGUGCAAAUGUUUUCAUGAUUCCAGGUUGAUCUUCAUAAAUAAAUUGCAUAAUUAAAUGAUAAAUAAAGCAGUGACUAAACCAAAGUCCCUACACCAGACAUUAUAGCACGAAGCUCCUCCCCGACUUUCUUCCAGACCCCAUUUAUCACCAGACAGCUUGUGAUAUCAUCUGGUAAUAAAGUAUCUUCAUCUGAAUCACAAGUAUAUACAGUCUCUCUCAUCUUCUUAAAACUUGACCUAUCUAAUAAACAAAUAUCAUAACUAGCUUCCCUCUUGCUCCUUCUCUCAGCACUUGGGUUAUCACAUUGAAUACUAGAACUAGGUUCUUCUGCACCACCAUGUUUCGCUACCGAGAUCUGUGUCCUUUCUGAUGAAUCCACAGACUUCUUACUGACAUCAUUAUGGUCAAGGACAGGAAGACAGCCAGAAGACCCAAGAUCACGAGGCAACAUACCAAUCGGACAUGGGUUCCAUGAUUUCACCACAGACCAUCUGCCUGCUCUUCCCAAAUCACCAUCUGUUGUCUUCUCAAUUUUGUGCUUAGCUAGGUGAAGUUUUACCGACUCCAGCUUAUUGGCCGCUUGAUGGAUAGACUCAUCUUGCUGGACAAGUAGGUUAUUAGAACUCUUAGGAGAAAAAAUUUCUUCAGUGACAACUAAAUCUGAAAAACACACACAACUUAGUUUGGUGAGUUUCUCCAUCAAAUGGCUGUUGCCCAUAAGCUCAGCAAGAUGCAAUGCUGAAUCCAUAAGUUGCUUAUUGCCACAUGACGAUAUCAUAAGACAUUUACGCAACACCUCCAUCAGAAUUGGAUUUGACAUAUCUGUCUCUGUUGCAAAGACUUCAGUUUUGUUUUUGGCACGUUUGGUGCAAAAGGGCUUCAGUAACUUAAGUUGUCCAACAAGCCAUGCGAAUAAAAAAGAAAGUUGUUCAAUUUUGUCAGUUCCUGUCCUAUACUCCAUUGAUGCCAAAUAUGUUCCUGUUUCAUAUUUUAUCGCUUCUUGAGCCUCAAUCAUAUUUAAAAUGGCCUUCAGAAGCAUUAGAAGUAAUUCUGGUACCUUGUUUGAUAAUUUAGUUAUUAAAAGCUUCCAAUCGUCCAACAGUUUGUGCAUGUCUUGGCCAAUUUGGUAAUCUUUAGGAAACUGCACCAAAUUUGAUGAAUCCAAAGCCUUGAGCAAGAACUCCAACAAUACAGACAGUACUUCCAAGGAGGAGGAGGAAUAUAAAUGAACAAGAUUUUUCAAGGUCUUCGUAGUGUGCUUCUUAGAACCCCCAGAUUUGGACAAAUUCAGCUUGCUGGCCAUAAGUGAAAAAAACUUAUUACGGCCACAAAGCUGUUCCCGAUGUUUGCCACCUACAAACAUUAUGCUUAUUGCUUAAUAAGAUUGCAAAAUCCUAAACUGGUGACAAUGAAGAUUUGUAAUUACAUAAUAGAACAUGCUAAACCAAAUUAAAGAAUAUAACACCACAUGCAUGCACUGUCCCUGUUAGGAUACAGAAAAUCCUAAGGUUUAUGGUUAAACUGAGACUGCUUUAGCAGUGGCAGACAGUUGAGCAGUUCCUAUGGUAUUCAACAAGGCACUACAAAAUAAUUGCUUUUCUGACCUUAUGAGAAAAACUGGGAAUAGCAAUAUCAUAUCAGGAUUCAGGCUAAGAUGUACCUAUUAAAGAACUAAUGCAGUCUACGUAAAGGUUAAAAGAAAAUCUGAGUAUAUGACAGCCUAAACAGCAUUUGUCUUUAAUGUGUAGAUACCAAAGAGAUUAAACUGAAAGCCCCAAAAUCAUGUCAGCAUCUGAACUACUUAUAUUUUAACAGCUUCCUUUCUUUUUUUAAUACUUCAAAUGCUAUAAUGCUACUUUCAAUGAACCAAGCAGACUUAUUUUCAAAAAACUACUACUUAAUAAGAAGACAGCUUUAAGAAUAUUUAUAGACAAGAACAGCUGCUAAAGUUAGAAAGGCAAAACUUGAUACACAAUAGCCUAUAAUCCUUUGUGAAAACUGCAUAAAGUCAUCAACAGAUUACAUAAGCUAGAGAAAAGGCAUCAUAGUAUCAAACAAACAGGAAAAGAAAGAGAUCCAAACGCACGUUUUCCUCUGAUUAGUGAAGAACCAGGUAGGGAACUCUGCCUAACUUUCAAGCAUGAUGCCAAUUCUCGGAGUUUUGAUUUGAUUUCUUUCC